rnacentral:rRNA from 1 species
AUGAACGCUAGCGACAGGCUUAACACAUGCAAGUCGAGGGGCAGCACAGGUAGCAAUACCGGGUGGCGACCGGCGCACGGGUGAGUAACGCGUAUGCAACUUGCCUAUCAGAGGGGGAUAACCCGGCGAAAGUCGGACUAAUACCGCAUGAAGCAGGGGCCCCGCAUGGGGAUAUUUGCUAAAGAUUCAUCGCUGAUAGAUAGGCAUGCGUUCCAUUAGGCAGUUGGCGGGGUAACGGCCCACCAAACCGACGAUGGAUAGGGGUUCUGAGAGGAAGGUCCCCCACAUUGGUACUGAGACACGGACCAAACUCCUACGGGAGGCAGCAGUGAGGAAUAUUGGUCAAUGGGCGUAAGCCUGAACCAGCCAAGUCGCGUGAGGGAUGAAGGUUCUAUGGAUCGUAAACCUCUUUUAUAAGGGAAUAAAGUGCGGGACGUGUCCCGUUUUGUAUGUACCUUAUGAAUAAGGAUCGGCUAACUCCGUGCCAGCAGCCGCGGUAAUACGGAGGAUCCGAGCGUUAUCCGGAUUUAUUGGGUUUAAAGGGUGCGUAGGCGGCCUUUUAAGUCAGCGGUGAAAGUCUGUGGCUCAACCAUAGAAUUGCCGUUGAAACUGGGGGGCUUGAGUAUGUUUGAGGCAGGCGGAAUGCGUGGUGUAGCGGUGAAAUGCAUAGAUAUCACGCAGAACCCCGAUUGCGAAGGCAGCCUGCCAAGCCAUGACUGACGCUGAUGCACGAAAGCGUGGGGAUCAAACAGGAUUAGAUACCCUGGUAGUCCACGCAGUAAACGAUGAUCACUAGCUGUUUGCGAUACACAGUAAGCGGCACAGCGAAAGCGUUAAGUGAUCCACCUGGGGAGUACGCCGGCAACGGUGAAACUCAAAGGAAUUGACGGGGGCCCGCACAAGCGGAGGAACAUGUGGUUUAAUUCGAUGAUACGCGAGGAACCUUACCCGGGUUUGAACGCAUUCGGACCGAGGUGGAAACACCUUUUCUAGCAAUAGCCGUUUGCGAGGUGCUGCAUGGUUGUCGUCAGCUCGUGCCGUGAGGUGUCGGCUUAAGUGCCAUAACGAGCGCAACCCUUGCCACUAGUUACUAACAGGUGAUGCUGAGGACUCUGGUGGGACUGCCAGCGUAAGCUGCGAGGAAGGCGGGGAUGACGUCAAAUCAGCACGGCCCUUACAUCCGGGGCGACACACGUGUUACAAUGGCGUGGACAAAGGGAGGCCACCUGGCGACAGGGAGCGAAUCCCCAAACCACGUCUCAGUUCGGAUCGGAGUCUGCAACCCGACUCCGUGAAGCUGGAUUCGCUAGUAAUCGCGCAUCAGCCAUGGCGCGGUGAAUACGUUCCCGGGCCUUGUACACACCGCCCGUCAAGCCAUGGGAGCCGGGGGUACCUGAAGUCCGUAACCGCGAGGAUCGGCCUAGGGUAAAACUGGUGACUGGGGCU